GUUCGGCCUUUUUAUUAUUUGAUCCCUUAUUAGGCCACUUUUUCGUAUCCAUGAAAGCUAAGUUCUCUCUUUCAAGGUUGGUUUUGGCACGUGGGUUUUAACGUUCGAGUUCUUCUAUGAAGGUUAGACAUGUGUUUUUCUUUUUCUUUUUUAAAAUCUAUUCUUUUGCAUGUUUAUAUACGUUUCUUAUCAACAGUUUAUUAGUUAAUGUAGUUUUUUUCACUGUUUUCUAGCUUUUUUUUAGUUUGUAAUAACUUCAAUGAAAUGGAGUGACAUGUUUUCUUGAUUGAUUUCAUUUUAAUGGAUACUACAGUUUCAAUGAGAUUGAUUGAUGUUGAUGUAUUGACGGCUAUAUGUAAUUGGGAUUAGUUUUGGAUUUUGGUUUAA